rnacentral:rRNA from 1 species
UUGCAUAUCCAAAAGCGGAGGAAAAGAAACUAACAAGGAUUCCCCUAGUAGCGGCGAGCGAAGCGGGAAGAGCUCAAAUUUAUAAUCUGGCACCUUCGGUGUCCGAGUUGUAAUCUCUAGAAAUGUUUUCCGCGUUGGACCGCACACAAGUCUGUUGGAAUACAGCGGCAUAGUGGUGAGACCCCCGUAUAUGGUGCGGACGCCCAGCGCUUUGUGAUACAUUUUCGAAGAGUCGAGUUGUUUGGGAAUGCAGCUCAAAUUGGGUGGUAAAUUCCAUCUAAAGCUAAAUAUUGGCGAGAGACCGAUAGCGAACAAGUACCGUGAGGGAAAGAUGAAAAGCACUUUGGAAAGAGAGUUAACAGUACGUGAAAUUGUUGGAAGGGAAACGCUUGAAGUCAGACUUGCUUGCCGAGCAAUCGGUUUGCAGGCCAGCAUCAGUUUUCCGGGAUGGAUAAUGGUAGAGAGAAGGUAGCAGUUUCGGCUGUGUUAUAGCUCUCUGCUGGAUACAUCUUGGGGGACUGAGGAACGCAGUGUGCCUUUGGCGGGGGUUUCGACCUCUUCACACUUAGGAUGCUGGUGGAAUGGCUUUAAACGACCCGUCUUGAAACACAGACCAAACGG